rnacentral:rRNA from 1 species
GACGAACGCUGGCGGCGUGCUUAACACAUGCAAGUCGAACGGAAAGGCCCUGCUUUUGUGUGGUGCUCGAGUGGCGAACGGGUGAGUAACACGUGAGUAACCUGCCCUUGACUUUGGGAUAACUUCAGGAAACUGGGGCUAAUACCGGAUAGGAGCUCCUGCUGCAUGGUGGGGGUUGGAAAGUUUCGGCGGUUGGGGAUGGACUCGCGGGUUAUCAGCUUGUUGGUGGGGUAGUGGCUUACCAAGGCUUUGACGGGUAGCCGGCCUGAGAGGGUGACCGGCCACAUUGGGACUGAGAUACGGACCAGACUCCUACGGGAGGCAGCAGUGGGGAAUAUUGCACAAUGGGCGGAAGCCUGAUGCAGCAACGCCGCGUGCGGGAUGACGGCCUUCGGGUUGUAAACCGCUUUCGCCUGUGACGAAGCGUGAGUGACGGUAAUGGGUAAAGAAGCACCGGCUAACUACGUG